rnacentral:sRNA from 1 species
GUGUGGAUGGAGGAGUGUGCGCUGUCCAGCGUGCUGCAGACACACCUGCGGGAGGACCACAAGGGCACCAUCCGCGGCGUCUUGGGCCGACUGGGCGGCCUCACUGAAGAGUCCACGCGGUGUGUCCUGCAGGGGCAUGACCUGCUGUUGCGCUCGGCCCUCCGGAGGCUGGCACUCCGCGGCAACGCCCUGGCCACCCUGACGCAGAUGCGGCUGUCGGGGAAGAAGCACCUCCUGCAGGAGCUGCGGGAACAGCGUGCACUGGAGCAGGGGUCCUCCCAGUGCCUGGACGAGCAUCAGUGGCAGCUGCUCAGGGCCCUGGAGGCGCGUGUGCUGGAGGAGGCCAGCCGGUUGGAGGAGGAAGCACAGCAGACACGGCUGCAGCUCCAGCAGCGGCUCCUGGCCGAGGCCCAGGAGGUGGGGCAGCUUCUGCAGCAGCACGUGGAGUGCGCCAUUGGGCAGGCGCUGCUGGUGCACGCACGGAAUGCAGCCACCAAGAGCCGGGCCAAGGACAGGGAUGACUUCAAGACAUCCCUGACCUAAGAAGAUAGGAUUCCCAUGACUAGUUUAAACCAGCCAUGCACUC